rnacentral:rRNA from 1 species
UACGUAGGGGGCAAGCGUUGUCCGGAUUUAUUGGGCGUAAAGAGCGUGUAGGCGGUUUGGUAGGUCCGCUGUGAAAACUCGAGGCUCAACCUCGAGACGCCGGUGGAAACCAUCAGACUAGAGUCCGGAAGAGGAGAGUGGAAUUCCUGGUGUAGCGGUGAAAUGCGCAGAUAUCAGGAAGAACACCCGAGGCUAAGGCGGCUCUCUAGUACGGUACUGACGCUGAGACGCGAAAGCGUGGGGAGCGAACAGG